AAGUCGUAACAAGGUUUCCGUAGGUGAACCUGCGGAAGGAUCAUUAACGAACGAAGGAUUCUUUAUGAAUCUUUUGGGAUCAACCAAAACCUGUGUGAAUUUAAUUGUAUUUCGAUCAAUACCAUUAUUUGGGUAACCAUUACUUGGUAUAAACGAAUACACUCUUUUAAUAAAUACAAAACUUUCAACAACGGAUCUCUUGGCUCUU
rnacentral:misc_RNA from 1 species